GGGGUUGUAGCUCAGUGAUAGAGCACUCACCUAGCACAUGUGAGGCCCUGGGUUCGAUCCUCAGUACCACA
rnacentral:tRNA from 1 species